UACGUAGGGUGCGAGCGUUAAUCGGAAUUACUGGGCGUAAAGCGUGCGUAGGCGGUUCGCUGUGUCCGAUGUGAAAGCCCCGGGCUUAACCUGGGAAUGGCAUUGGAAACUGGCGGGCUUGAGUGCGGCAGAGGGGGGUGGAAUUCCGCGUGUAGCAGUGAAAUGCGUAGAGAUGCGGAGGAACACCGAUGGCGAAGGCAGCCCCCUGGGUCGACACUGACGCUAAGGCACGAAAGCGUGGGGAGCAAACAGG
rnacentral:rRNA from 1 species